rnacentral:Y_RNA from 1 species
UGGUCUGAGUGCAAUUUACAACCAAUUGAUCACAACCAGUUAUACAUUUCUUUGUUCUUCUCCAUUUUCACUGCUUCACUUGGCUAACCUUAA